GUAUCCUGUCUGAAUAUGGGGGGACCAUCCUCCAAGGCUAAAUACUCCUGACUGACCGAUAGUGAACCAGUACCGUGAGGGAAAGGCGAAAAGAACCCCGGCGAGGGGAGUGAAAAAGAACCUGAAACCGUGUACGUACAAGCAGUGGGAGCCUCUUUAUGGGGUGACUGCGUACCUUUUGUAUAAUGGGUCAGCGACUUAUAUUCUGUAGCAAGGUUAACCGAAUAGGGGAGCCGAAGGGAAACCGAGUCUUAACUGGGCGUUAAGUUGCAGGGUAUAGACCCGAAACCCGGUGAUCUAGCCAUGGGCAGGUUGAAGGUUGGGUAACACUAACUGGAGGACCGAACCGACUAAUGUUGAAAAAUUAGCGGAUGACUUGUGGCUGGGGGUGAAAGGCCAAUCAAACCGGGAGAUAGCUGGUUCUCCCCGAAAGCUAUUUAGGUAGCGCCUCGUGAAUUCAUCUCCGGGGGUAGAGCACUGUUUCGGCAAGGGGGUCAUCCCGACUUACCAACCCGAUGCAAACUGCGAAUACCGGAGAAUGUUAUCACGGGAGACACACGGCGGGUGCUAACGUCCGUCGUGAAGAGGGAAACAACCCAGACCGCCAGCUAAGGUCCCAAAGUCAUGGUUAAGUGGGAAACGAUGUGGGAAGGCCCAGACAGCCAGGAUGUUGGCUUAGAAGCAGCCAUCAUUUAAAGAAAGCGUAAUAGCUCACUGGUCGAGUCGGCCUGCGCGGAAGAUGUAACGGGGCUAAACCAUGCACCGAAGCUGCGGCAGCGACGCUUAUGCGUUGUUGGGUAGGGGAGCGUUCUGUAAGCCUGUGAAGGUGUGCUGUGAGGCAUGCUGGAGGUAUCAGAAGUGCGAAUGCUGACAUAAGUAACGAUAAAGCGGGUGAAAAGCCCGCUCGCCGGAAGACCAAGGGUUCCUGUCCAACGUUAAUCGGGGCAGGGUGAGUCGACCCCUAAGGCGAGGCCGAAAGGCGUAGUCGAUGGGAAACAGGUUAAUAUUCCUGUACUUGGUGUUACUGCGAAGGGGGGACGGAGAAGGCUAUGUUGGCCGGGCGACGGUUGUCCCGGUUUAAGCGUGUAGGCUGGUUUUCCAGGCAAAUCCGGAAAAUCAAGGCUGAGGCGUGAUGACGAGGCACUACGGUGCUGAAGCAACAAAUGCCCUGCUUCCAGGAAAAGCCUCUAAGCAUCAGGUAACAUCAAAUCGUACCCCAAACCGACACAGGUGGUCAGGUAGAGAAUACCAAGGCGCUUGAGAGAACUCGGGUGAAGGAACUAGGCAAAAUGGUGCCGUAACUUCGGGAGAAGGCACGCUGAUAUGUAGGUGAAGUCCCUCGCGGAUGGAGCUGAAAUCAGUCGAAGAUACCAGCUGGCUGCAACUGUUUAUUAAAAACACAGCACUGUGCAAACACGAAAGUGGACGUAUACGGUGUGACGCCUGCCCGGUGCCGGAAGGUUAAUUGAUGGGGUUAGCGGUAACGCGAAGCUCUUGAUCGAAGCCCCGGUAAACGGCGGCCGUAACUAUAACGGUCCUAAGGUAGCGAAAUUCCUUGUCGGGUAAGUUCCGACCUGCACGAAUGGCGUAAUGAUGGCCAGGCUGUCUCCACCCGAGACUCAGUGAAAUUGAACUCGCUGUGAAGAUGCAGUGUACCCGCGGCAAGACGGAAAGACCCCGUGAACCUUUACUAUAGCUUGACACUGAACAUUGAGCCUUGAUGUGUAGGAUAGGUGGGAGGCUUUGAAGUGUGGACGCCAGUCUGCAUGGAGCCGACCUUGAAAUACCACCCUUUAAUGUUUGAUGUUCUAACGUUGACCCGUAAUCCGGGUUGCGGACAGUGUCUGGUGGGUAGUUUGACUGGGGCGGUCUCCUCCUAAAGAGUAACGGAGGAGCACGAAGGUUGGCUAAUCCUGGUCGGACAUCAGGAGGUUAGUGCAAUGGCAUAAGCCAGCUUGACUGCGAGCGUGACGGCGCGAGCAGGUGCGAAAGCAGGUCAUAGUGAUCCGGUGGUUCUGAAUGGAAGGGCCAUCGCUCAACGGAUAAAAGGUACUCCGGGGAUAACAGGCUGAUACCGCCCAAGAGUUCAUAUCGACGGCGGUGUUUGGCACCUCGAUGUCGGCUCAUCACAUCCUGGGGCUGAAGUAGGUCCCAAGGGUAUGGCUGUUCGCCAUUUAAAGUGGUACGCGAGCUGGGUUUAGAACGUCGUGAGACAGUUCGGUCCCUAUCUGCCGUGGGCGCUGGAGAACUGAGGGGGGCUGCUCCUAGUACGAGAGGACCGGAGUGGACGCAUCACUGGUGUUCGGGUUGUCAUGCCAAUGGCACUGCCCGGUAGCUAAAUGCGGAAGAGAUAAGUGCUGAAAGCAUCUAAGCACGAAACUUGCCCCGAGAUGAGUUCUCCCUGACUCCUUGAGAGUCCUGAAGGAACGUUGAAGACGACGACGUUGAUAGGCCGGGUGUGUAAGCGCAGCGAUGCGUUGAGCUAACCGGUACUAAUGAACCGUGAGGCUUAACCUUACAAC
rnacentral:rRNA from 1 species